rnacentral:snoRNA from 1 species
UGGACCAAUGAUGACGACUGGUAGCGUAUGAGUCAUGGACGAUGAAUGAUUCGUGUCUGGAAGUCUGAGGUCAAA